rnacentral:rRNA from 1 species
GAUGAACGCUGGCGGCGUGCCUAAUACAUGCAAGUCGAGCGAACAGACGAGGAGCUUGCUCCUCUGACGUUAGCGGCGGACGGGUGAGUAACACGUGGAUAACCUACCUAUAAGACUGGGAUAACUUCGGGAAACCGGAGCUAAUACCGGAUAAUAUAUUGAACCGCAUGGUUCAAUAGUGAAAGACGGUUUUGCUGUCACUUAUAGAUGGAUCCGCGCCGCAUUAGCUAGUUGGUAAGGUAACGGCUUACCAAGGCGACGAUGCGUUUCCGGCCUGAGAGGGUGAUCGGCCACACAGGAACUGAGACACGGUCCAGACUCCUACGGGAGGCAGCAGUAGGGAAUCUUCCACAAUGGGCGAAAGCCUGACAGAGCAACGCCGCGUGAGUGAUGAAGGUCUUCGGAUCGUAAAACUCUGUUAUUAGGGAAGAACAAAUGUGUAAGUAACUAUGCACGUCUUGACGGUACCUAAUCAGAAAGCCACGGCUAACUACGUG